rnacentral:rRNA from 1 species
CAGCCGCCGCGGUAAGACAGAGGUGCCAAGCGUUAGGCGGAAUCACUGGGCUUAAAGCGUGUGUAGGCGGAUGCCUAAGUACCUUGUGAAAUCCCACGGCUCAACCGUGGAACUGCUGGGUAUACUGGGUGUCUUGAGCCAGCUAGGGGCUACCGGAACAAGUGGUGGAGCGGUGAAAUGCGUAGAUAUCACUUGGAACGCCAAUGGUGAAAACAGGUAGCUGGGGCUGUGCUGACGCUGAGACACGAAAGCCAGGGGAGCAAACGGGAUUAGAUACCCCAGUAGUCCCUGUCUCUUAUAC